GCUUGCCGGGAUGGAGAGCCGGCUGCCUAGUGAAUGACCAGAGAUGCCAGUGCUUCUGUGUCGAAGGUGAGAAUCCUUGCACAUUAAUAAUCCACAACUUCCAAAACACCUGUGCACCUGACCAAUUUAUGGAUUGUAAUCUGGAUCUUUCUCCGUGCAAAUGCCGUUGUGCUCCUAAGUAAAUACAUGGAGGCUGCAAGAGCAUUUCCUCCAGUGCAUUCCUCCUGCUUCCUGAUGGACUAAUUAGUUCUGCAUUUGGGUCACCUGAAAUAGCAGCAAAUAAAAUGCAAUAACAAAACGAAUCGUGCAAUGUUCUUUCUUGUGUUCAGGGAAGUUUUAUCCUG